rnacentral:rRNA from 1 species
GAUGAACGCUGGCGGCGUGCCUAAUACAUGCAAGUCGAGCGAACAGACGAGGAGCUUGCUCCUCUGACGUUAGCGGCGGACGGGUGAGUAACACGUGGAUAACCUACCUAUAAGACUGGGAUAACUUCGGGAAACCGGAGCUAAUACCGGAUAACAUGUUGAACCGCAGGGUUCAACAGAGAAAGACGGUUUUGCUGUAACUUAUAGAGGGAUCCGCGUCGCAUUAGCUGGUUGGUACGUUAACGGCUUAUCAAGGCAACGAGGCGUAGCCGACCUGUGAGGGUGAUCGGCGACCUUGGAGGUUGGCCACGCUCCAGACUCCUACGAGACGCAGCAGUAGGGAAUCUUCCGCAGUGGGCGAGAGCCUGACGGAGCGACGCCGCGUGAGUUGAGGAAGUCUUCGGAUCGUAAAGCUCUCUUAUUAGUGAAGAACAAAUGUGUAAUUUGCUAAGCACGUAUUGACGGUACCUAAUCAGAAAGCCCCGGCUAACUACGUG